rnacentral:rRNA from 1 species
GACGAACGCUGGCGGCGUGCCUAAUACAUGCCAGUCGAACGCUGAAGAGAGGAGCUUGCUCUUCUUGGAUGAGUUGCGAACGGGUGAGUAACGCGUAGGUAACCUGCCUUGUAGCGGGGGAUAACUAUUGGAAACGAUAGCUAAUACCGCAUAACAAUGGAUGACACAUGUCAUUUAUUUGAAAGGGGCAAUUGCUCCACUACAAGAUGGACCUGCGUUGUAUUAGCUAGUAGGUGAGGUAACGGCUCACCUAGGCGACGAUACAUAGCCGACCUGAGAGGGUGAUCGGCCACACUGGGACUGAGACACGGCCCAGACUCCUACGGGAGGCAGCAGUAGGGAAUCUUCGGCAAUGGGGGCAACCCUGACCGAGCAACGCCGCGUGAGUGAAGAAGGUUUUCGGAUCGUAAAGCUCUGUUGUAAGUCAAGAACGAGUGUGAGAGUGGAAAGUUCACACUGUGACGGUAGCUUACCAGAAAGGGACGGCUAACUACGUG